CUCCUCAAGAUGGCGGCCGACAGUGAGCCCGAGUCUGAGGUAUUUGAGAUCACGGACUUCACCACUGCCUCGGAAUGGGAAAGGUUUAUUUCCAAAAUUGAAGAAGUCUUGAAUGACUGGAAACUGAUUGGAAACUCUUUGGGAAAGCCACUUGAAAAGGGUAUAUUUACUUCUGGCACAUGGGAAGAGAAAUCAGAUGAGAUUUCCUUUGCUGAUUUCAAGUUCUCAAUCACUCAUCAUUAUCUUGUACAAGAAUCCCCUGAUAAAGAAGGAAAGGAUGAAGUAUUAGAAGAUGUUAUUCCACAAUCUAUGCAAGAUUUGCUGUGUAUGAAUAAUGACUUUCCUCCCAGAGCACAUUGCCUCGUAAGAUGGUAUGGACUCCGAGAGUUUGUGGUGAUCGCCCCUGCUGCAAAUAAUGAUGCUGUUCUCAGUGAAUCUAAGUGCAAUCUUCUUCUGAGUUCUGUGUCUGUUGCUUUGGGAAACACUGGCUGCCAGGUGCCACUCUUCGUGCAAAUUCAUCACAAAUGGCGAAGAAUGUAUGUGGGAGAAUGUCAGGGUCCUGGUGUCCGAACUGAUUUUGAAAUGGUUCAUCUUCGAAAAGUGCCAAAUCAGUACACUCAUUUAUCAGGUCUGCUGGAUAUCUUCAAAUCAAAGAUUGGAUGUACUUUAACUCCAUUGCCUCCAGUUAGUAUUGCUAUACGGUUUACCUAUGUACUUCAGGAUUGGCAGCAGUAUUUUUGGCCUCAGCAGCCUCCAGAUAUAGAUGCCCUUGUAGGAGGAGAAGUGGGAGGCCUGGAAUUUGGCAAGUUACCAUUUGGUGCCUGUGAAGAUCCUAUUAGUGAACUCCACUUAGCAACUACAUGGCCUCACCUGACUGAAGGUAUCAUUGUGGAUAAUGAUGUUUAUUCUGAUUUGGAUCCUGUUCAGGCUCCCCAUUGGUCUGUUAGAGUUCGAAAAGCUGAUAAUCCUCAGUGUUUGCUAGGUGAUUUUGUCACUGAGUUUUUUAAAAUUUGCCGUCGAAAGGAGUCAACUGAUGAGAUUCUCGGACGAUCCACAUUUGAGGAAGAAGGAAGAGAAGUUGCUGAUAUAACUCAUGCUUUGUCAAAGUUGACAGAGCCUGCACCGGUUCCAAUUCAUAAAUUAUCAGUUUCAAAUAUGGUACACACUGCAAAGAAGAAAAUACGAAAACAGAGAGGUGUAGAAGAAUCACCGCUGAAUAAUGAUGUCCUCAAUACUAUUCUCUUGUUCUUAUUCCCUGAUGCUGCUUCUGAGAAACCGUUAGAUGGGACUUCUUCAACAGACAACAGUAAUCCUCCAUUAGAGAGUGAAGAAUAUAAUCUCUACAAUCAGUUCAAAUCUGCACCAUCUGAUAGUUUAACAUACAAAUUGGCUUUGUGUCUUUGUAUGAUCAAUUUCUACCAUGGAGGACUGAAAGGAGUGGCACAUCUCUGGCAGGAGUUUGUUCUUGAAAUGCGUUUCAGAUGGGAGAACAACUUUCUGAUUCCAGGAUUAGCAAGUGGACCCCCAGAUCUAAGAUGUUGUUUACUGCAUCAGAAACUACAGAUGUUAAAUUGUUGUAUCGAAAGAAAGAAGGCACGUGAUGAGGGGAGAAAGACAAGUCCUUCAGAUAAUGUAACUAAUACGUAUUCAGGGGAUGGUGGAAAAUCUGGAGACCAGCUGGGGCCAGACAAUCUAAAAGAUAUGGAUAAGGAAAAGGGAGAGGUGGGAAAAUCAUGGGAUUCUUGGAGUGACAGCGAGGAAGAAUUUUUUGAAUGCCUAAGUGAUACUGAAGAACUUAAGGGAAAUGGACAAGAGAGUGGCAAGAAAGGAGGACCUAAGGAGAUGGCAAGUUUAAAGCCAGAAGGACGACUCCAUCAGCAUGGGAAACUUACACUGCUACAUAAUGGAGAACCUCUCUAUAUUCCAGUGACCCAGGAACCAGCACCUAUGACAGAAGAUCUGCUAGAAGAGCAGUCGGAGGUUCUAGCUAAAUUGGGUACAUCGGCAGAAGGGGCUCACCUCCGAGCACGCAUGCAGAGCGCCUGUCUGCUCUCAGAUAUGGAGUCUUUUAAGGCAGCUAAUCCAGGUUGUUUUCUGGAAGAUUUUGUGAGGUGGUACUCACCCCGGGAUUAUAUUGAAGAGGAAGUGAUUGAUGAAAAGGGCAACAUGGUUCUGAAAGGAGAACUGAGCGCCCGAAUGAAGAUUCCAAGCAAUAUGUGGGUAGAAGCCUGGGAAACAGCUAAGCCAGUUCCCGCUAGAAGGCAAAGGAGACUCUUUGAUGAUACACGGGAAGCAGAAAAGGUGCUGCACUAUCUGGCAGUACAGAAACCUGCAGACCUUGCUAGGCACCUGUUACCUUGUGUAAUUCAUGCAGCCAUACUCAAGGUAAAGGAAGAAGAAAGUCUGGAAAACAUUUCUUCAGUUAAGAAGAUUAUAAAGCAAAUAAUAUCUCAUUCCAGUAAAGUUUUGCACUUCCCCAAUCCAGAAGACAAGAAAUUGGAAGAAAUCAUCCAUCAAAUUACGAAUGUAGAAGCUAUAAUUGCUAGAGCCCGCUCACUGAAAGCCAAGUUUGGAACUGAGAAAUGUGAACAAGAGGAGGAAAAGGAAGAUCUUGAAAGGUUUGUGAGUUGCCUUUUGGAGCAACCUGAGGUGUUAGUUGUCGGUGCAGGAAGAGGACACGCUGGCAGGAUCAUUCACAAGCUGUUUGUGAACGCUCAGAGGCUGACUGAAUCUUCUGAUGAGUCACUGAGGUCUCUCCUCAGAGAGCAGCAGAUCCCUCUAGCUGCAGGUGUGCAACAGGACAGAUACCAUUCACUGCUUCCAUUCUUCACUCCCUCUGCCAAAGAGGCUGUGCCACCCACCCCUGGACCUGCUGCUGCCUUCUGUGCUGCUGCUGGCUACACUGCAACUCCUCUUGCUCCACAGCUUCCUGCAUGGUACAGUCCACCCACUUUUGGGUUCACAGAUGGAUGAUCUCUUGGGUUUCCUGGUCUUGAAUGUGCUAAUAAUUUGCACAGCUGAGAAAUCACAGAUGACUUUUUUUCCCAGCUGAAGUCCAUGUACGUGUGAAGUGAUCCAGGUGGAAGAGGUGGUGGUGAAAAUUUCCUGGUCCUAGAAUGAAUAGAAAGGGAAGCAGUUUCUUUUUCAUCUGUGACUGAGAACUUGCACAGGCCCCAAGAGAAAACGCAAGUGUUAAGUGAUGAAAAGAAUAAAAUACAUCUCGGAUCCCAGACCAGGGAUAUAGAUUCACGCACGUAACCUUCCACACCUGUAUGCACGAUUUUCAACUUGAUAUCUCAAGGUGGAGUCAAACGUGUCUGCACUGACCUCUCUGUGACAGACUGUGCAGAGGGUCUGCAGGUUGCCCAGGGAGCACUGUCCUCCUCCGCCAGACACUGGCUUGAUGUGGUCCACCUGCCAGAAGUGCCCUUCCCCUGGGUUUCUUAUCAUUUCAUUAAGCUGCAAUAAGAACACAGGAUCAGCAAUUUUCAACAUACACUGUGGGAACUGUUGGGUCUGCAAUGUGCAAUCAUGUUCACACAGCAGAAUCACAGGGAAAAAUACAUUAGGAUGGUUUUUUAUAGCUUUUAUUGUGAGUAGGAAAAACCCUCUAGGUUAGCAAUUUGAAAGCAAUAAAAAAUAUGUUUCUGAAAAAGGUUUUUUUUCCCCCCCUUACCUAACCCAUUUUGAAAAAAUUACAAGUAAGUAUAAAAUACCAAGCCUUCUGACAGAUUGGGAAAAAUCAAUUGCUUCUGCACCUUUGAGCUAGUUUAUAUAGUCACUAAAACAAAACUGAGAAAAAAAUAAGAACAGAUUAGAAAUGAAAAACUUCUGAAUAUUACUGACUCAGACAGUCUUUUAAUUGUUGACCUAAAUGCAUUUGUUACUAUACCAAUGACAGUUUAAUAUUAAUAGUGAUCACCCAGAACUUUUAUGCUAUUACCUGGGAACCUCCUAAGUUACACGGACUGGAAUCAAAUUUCUAGAACAAAUCUCUGUAGCUUGCAUAUUUGGAAUAAACAAAGAUGUUCAUUUAAAGCAGCCACUAUUUAGGCCAGUCCGUAUAUGCAUACUUCAUAUUUAACGAAUGAUAACCUAUACAUUCAAACAGGAUGUAUUUUAGCAUUUUAUCUGAGGUAGUAAAACCAGCUCACAACAUAGCAGCAUAGAGUUGUUUAAAUAUCACAAAGACGAGUGUGAAGACGAUAUUAUAAUAUCUUCCUUGUUCCUUGGUCUUGAACAAGGAAGAUGCUAUAAUCAACUUCAAGGCUGCUGGCCAUGGGAAUCUGUGACGUAGCUCUAAAGUGCUUUAGGAAAGUUGUCAGGCCCAUGGAUGGCUCAGGGACCUUAACAGCAGUGUCUGGCCCAAGAGCAGCCCCAGGAAGCAGCAAAUUGGAGCAGUAACCUUUGUCCACCAUAACUCUGUUACAGAUGGACUGACUUUCUCUUCUAUACUGAACUUCCCAACUUCUGUUAGAAGAUAUAUAAUGAUUUUUAUUUUUGAGGUUGACAUUGUCAGAGGAGACUUCAUAUGGCAGUCUUGUGCAUCAAGCAAAUGGCAUAUUCUUAGGAAAAAAAAUCCAUUUUGGUUCUGUCUUUUGUAACCGAUUCUUCUGUGCCAAGCAGUCUCCAUUCUGACAGAUUCUGUAAUCCAGAAGGUGCUUCUUUAUUCUUCCCAGUAAUUUGGAAUCACUUGGGGCCAGUCUUCAACAUCCUAAACUCACCUCCAGAAAGAAUCACUCCCUCUCCCACUGGUCAUUCCAUCUGGGCCCUGUGGUGCUCCUUAUUCUCUGAACGCUUCUCUUUUAGAUGUAUACUGUGUUACUUCUGCAUUCUUGGACAGACUGCUUUCAAGAUGUUCUUGAGUCAUUCCAUUGUGUGUCUUCCGGAAGCCUCCACAUGGAGGCAGCAGCCAGUAACUGGAGUCUGGCUGACAUCUCUGGGAUGGGUGUGACAUGACCCUCACCAGUUAGACCAAAGGAUCUUUCAGGAACUCUGGAUAACAUUAGGGGAAGAGUGUAUUUCCCUAACAAAGUCAUGCUAAUUAAUCUUUGCAGAAAUGCUUAUUAAUUCUGUCAUGAUUCAGCAAUACUAGGUAAAUAAAAAUAUAAGAUUUUACUACCUGGCUGGAACUUAUCCAAUAUUUUAGCAGACGGAGAGUGAUUUUUUUCAAAACUAAGCUUACUACAAAAUUACACAUUUUGCUCUAGUUUGAAAUUUAGUACUUAUUAGAUCACAACACUGGAAAUCCAACUGAGUUUUGGGAGUCAAAGUAAAUACUGAGAAUAGUGUGCUAAGAAUAUUAUUUUUGUCAUGAAUUACAUUUUACAAUGGGAUAAACAUAAGAAGUUUUCUUCUCAUUGUAAUGACUACAUUUUGGGGGUUAUCUGUUUACCCCUUGUCAUUCAAUAUUAACACCAUGAAAAGCGGAACAACCAUACCAUAAGUGCCUCUCAAUGCAAUGUACCAUCUGUUAAGGUCUCUUCCCAAAAUAAUCUAGUCAGAAUCUAAUUAAACCUCUAGAUCUUAUAACCAUUAUUCAGGAAAUCAGGGGGAUAGAGAAACAUGUCAGACAACAUCAUGAGGAUACAGGGAAACAAACAAAUCCAGAAUGUGGGAAAUCCUAAAGGCAAAUGUAACAAUUUAUGGUGUAAAAAAGGGAAGGGGUGAUCUUAGAGAUUAAAUGGAACGUAAAAGGCGUAAUGACCAAAUGCAAUGUGUGGGUCAUAUUUUGAUCCUAAUUUGAAGAAAGCAAUUGUAAAAAGACAUUUCUGAGACAAUAUGGGAAACCAAACACAGACUUCUUAUAAUUGCGGAAUUAUAAUUGUGUUGGGUGUGAUAAUGGAUAUUGGGAUAUUUAAAAGAGAGACAGACCUAUGAUAAACCAUAAUGGAAAAGAAUAUUAAAAAAAGAAUGUAUAUAUAUGUAUAACUGAGUCAUUUCGCUGUACAGUAGUAAUUAACACAUUGUAAAUCAACUAUACUUCAAUUAAAAGAAUAAAUAAAUAAAAAAUAAAAGAGAGAAAGAAAAAGGGGGAGAGGGAGAAAGAAAGUCUUUACCUGUGAGACAUACAUAAUGAAAGUAUUUAAGGGUGAAAUGAAAUGCUGUCUGGAAUUUGGUUUAAAAUAAUUCCAGGAGAGAGAAAGAACUGAGGUGAGGGACAGAUGAAGAUGAAAGCAAAAUGCUGAUAACUGUUAAAGUCGGGUGAUGGGUAUGUGGGUUCAUCAUUCCCUCUACUUUUGUAUAUGUAUUUGAAAAU